rnacentral:rRNA from 1 species
UACGAAGGGGGGCUAGCGUUGUUCGGAAUCACUGGGCGUAAAGGGCGCGUAGGCGGCUUUAUAAGUCGGGGGGUGAAAGCCUGUGGCUCAACCACAGAAUUGCCUUCGAUACUGUAGAGCUUGAGACCGGAAGAGGUAAGUGGAACUGCGAGUGUAGAGGUGAAAUUCGUAGAUAUUCGCAAGAACACCAAUGGCGAAGGCAGCUUGCUGGGACGGUACUGACGCUGAGGCGCGAAAGCAUGGGGAGCGAACAGG